rnacentral:rRNA from 1 species
GCCUACGGGGGGCAGCAGUGGGGGAUAUUGCACAAUGGGGGGAACCCUGAUGCAGCGACGCCGCGUGGGCGAUGGAGUGCUUCGGCAUGUAAAGCCCUAUCAGCAGGGAAGAAAAUGACGGUACCUGACUAAGAAGCCCCGGCUAAAUACGUGCCAGCAGCCGCGGUAAUACGUAUGGGGCAAGCGUUAUCCGGAUUUACUGGGUGUAAAGGGAGCGUAGACGGCUGUGCAAGUCUGAAGUGAAAGCCCAGGGCUCAACCCUGGGACUGCUUUGGAAACUGUGGAGCUAGAGUGCUGGAGAGGUA